rnacentral:lncRNA from 1 species
GUAUGGACUGCUGAGUGCUGACGUAUCCAUUUCAUAGCCUUUGGCUUGGUGUCAGUUGACCCUGCAUGUGCUAUAACAUUUUAGUUAGCAUCUACCUUGUUAGCAUAUUAAACACAUGGUAUAUGCUGGUAAAAGAAAAUUUUUUUCUCCUUGUGUAUUGCUAGAUGAUAUUGCUUGCAUGAACAGUUACAUUCUCUCAGUUAUUGGUGCAUCUCCAUUCCUUUUUUGUUUGGACUCUGGACACAAAUUUUCCCCUGAAAUGUCACGGCUGUGAUUAAACAAAAAAGGGGAAAGUUGCUUAUGAUUUAAUUUUCAGCUAGAAGACUUUGUUUAAUAAUUAACUAAAUUAUUCAUACUUGUAAAUCAUAGUGAAAAAAAAAAGAUGCUAAAUCUUGAAGUUGAGAAUCAAAAUAAUUGGUUUUUAAUCCAUCAUUAGGUGGAAAAAUGCUGGAGGCCAUGACUAAUUAUGUUAAAUACCAAAGCAUGAGACUGAUGACAUUAUAUUCCUAAGAUAAAUUGAGGUGUUAUGCUGAUGAAGCAGGGCUGUUCUGUAGCAGGAAAUGGAUUUCCAACAUUAUGCUGAACAAUAAUAAAUUACCAAAAACUAUGUGCAUGUGAUAAGGCAUAACAUGUUCAAGAUGUAUGAUAUGAAUUAGAGGGUUAAGGUGUAAGGUUGAGAACAAUGGAAAAGCCAUGCAAAAUUUGAGUGAUUACUGUUGGCAGGAAAAAAAGAGACAAACAUAGUACAGAAUGACAAGAAACAUGUGCACAAAAAUCUAUUCAUCAACUGUGAGUACAGAGAAUUAUUAACUUUACAAACUAAAAUGAGGUCAGAGUAGACAAAUUCUUCACACAAUUUGGUAUUCAUAAACUUGAAAAAAGCUUGGAAAGCAUGACCAAGGGGCAAGAGUCUAACAAAAAAGAAGACCAUUUGAGUAACGGUGUGUUGUAAACAGUGAGAUUUUGAACCAAAACCAUGAAUUGUAACAAGGAACUUUAGGGAGGAAAAAAUUUUGAAGUUGUGUUUAGAAGGAAUUGGAAACUCUUCAAAACUUCAUUUCUAGUGUCUUAUGAUAUCCCAUUAACAUGUUACUGAGAGAAAGAAAUUGUUACUUUAUGCAUGUUUUAGCAUAUUUUGCCACAUGGAUAGCACUAUGGUUAAUCCCCAAGUAUCUGGCUUCUCUAAUGUCCUUAAUAGCCAUGG